rnacentral:rRNA from 1 species
GACGAACCACACAAACGUUAUUCGGAAUUACUGGGCUUAAAGGGUGCGUAGGCGGCGCAGAAAGUUGGGUGUGAAAUACCUCGGCUCAACCGAGGAACUGCGCCCAAAACUGCUGUGCUCGAGGAAGAUAGAGGUGAGCGGAACUUACGGUGGAGCGGUGAAAUGCGUUGAUAUCGUAAGGAACACCGGUGGCGAAAGCGGCUCACUGGAUCUCUUCUGACGCUGAGGCACGAAAGCUAGGGUAGCGAACGGG